UACGUAGGGUGCGAGCGUUGUCCGGAAUUAUUGGGCGUAAAGAGCUCGUAGGCGGCUUGUCGCGUCGGAUGUGAAAGCCCGGGGCUUAACUCCGGGUCUGCAUUCGAUACGGGCAGGCUAGAGUUCGGUAGGGGAGAUCGGAAUUCCUGGUGUUAGCGGUGAAAUGACGCAGAUAUCAGGAGGAACACCGGUGGCGAAGGCGGAUCUCUGGGCCGAUACUGACGCUGAGGAGCGAAAGCGUGGGAGCGAACAGG
rnacentral:rRNA from 1 species